ACCAACACACAUUUACUGUUCAUCCAAAAAGUGUACAAUUAAUGUUGACAGCUUAGAAUAGCCUCCCUUCUAGUUUGCACAGUAAACUCAGUAAAAUAUGCACCGUUCUCUCCACACAAAUGGCCUCUGUAAACUCAAAACAGCAAUCUCCCAUUUUAAUGACAGCUGGGAUGUCAAAAUAAUAAGCAUUUAAUAUAAAUUUUGAAGCUGCUGCCGGAACCCUAUGACGAAGGAUUACUACGACAGAAUAACUGUUUGUAAAACUCAGGUAACAAGCACAAUAGCAUGGUGAUCCAGCAAAGGAACGAAGAAAAUUUUCAAUUCUUUCCUUGAAAAAAGGGGGAAGAUGAAGUCUUCCCAUAAAUAACUGCUCAACGAACCUGCCUUGACUUCCUUUUAAAGACCUUGAAUUUUUACCAAAAGUUUUGUAAAUAAUCAAAUGGAGCAUAAUUGUCAGUUUUCCUACCCAAUCAUCAUUUCUCAUUGCAAUCACGUGACUGGGAAAGGAAACAGCUCCAUAACAGCAAGCCAGGCCCUAAGAGGGAAGCCAUGGUUUUCUCUCGUUGCCCAUAAACAAUUUCAAAGAUCACCACCGUCAGCCACGGUCCCUCCAAACCACAAUGGACAUGGACCCAAACAAGAGCAGGCCUAUUAAUCAUAUGUGAGCAUAGACAACAAGUAAGAAGUCUGUCCAAACCCCCAAAUGAGCAAGUUUUCCUCUUUGCAUUACAAUGUGACUUACUGUUGCUUCUCUACCAAUUGUUGCUUUAGGCCUGAUCCAUUUCCCCACCAUUUACCACAAACAUUGUUGAGAUGCAGGAUCACAGAACGACCUUGCUGUCCCAAGGCACUCAAGGCAAAGCAAAACACCUGAACCCUCUCCCAAAUCACCCAGCGGCCGCCCAGACCUCCUAACACCCUGUCCCCGAGGAGGCCCUGUUUCUCACGGUCCCCGUAAGGACCUGAUAAACUCUCCUCAUUUCCUACAUAGAUGUCCCUGAUGAUCUCCAGCUAAAGGUCAACACGUGACUGCCAGCUGUGAUUCUGCACACACAGGAACCUGUACAUACGUGAGCCUGUGUAAACAUAUAUCAUUUCUUCGCAUUUCCAGGACUUACCUGUACGGAUGACCUCUCUUUCCCCUUACAUGUGUGUACGCGACACUAUCAGGAUAUAAGCUUAAGC